CAAGAGAAAUUAUUCCCAAGAAGAAAAAUCCCAGUUCGGAUCCACAUGUGGAUUCCAGAUCCCAGGAUCCACUCUGUGCUGUAAUAUGGCUGUGAUAUCAGCUGGGAAACGUGAUGUCAACUGCAACAAAGAGUAAACCCAAGAGCAGAGAAGGAAGUUUCCAUGGCGUCUGUACUGAGUGAGCAGCUGAGGAGACAAAUGGCUUUCCCAACUCCUGUUUCUGUUCACAGCCCUGCCAGCUGUCACCACAGCAAUUUCCAUGCCAACAUCUCAGUAAAGCACCAGCAUUUCCAGCAAAAAAAGGGUUUUGCUGGGAUUUUAGUCUCACCGCACUGCAAGGAAAUCAGAGGAGCCUGCAACGUCAUCAUGUGGGCAUAAAAAAGGCCUGGAACCCAGGGCAGGAUCAUCCAUUCCACAAUGGUGGGAGGUGGUCCCUGCAUGUGAAGGUCAGUCCUGACGAUGUGCUGCGACGCCAGCAGGAGCAUGAAGAGGAAGGUUAGGUGGAACUGCCCCAUUUUCAAGCCAUCUCCAUUCUAUAAGCUAGCACCUCACCUGGACCAGUGUAAUAAACUAGGAGUCCAGAGAGAAGCCUUCAGAAGGAAAGGAUUUUGUAAAUAUGCAUUUAAAUGGCCUGUGGCAACUUGUUCCAGACAGAGCACUUUCUCCUCUAAGCCACUCUCCCUUUCUGAUGCGAGAGGAGGAAGUAACAUGAGGCACUUGAGGAUGAAAUGAAGAAAGAGCACAAUCAGUGUGGAGUUGGUUCUCCAAGUCACAGAGGGGUGCUGUUAAAGACCUGGUUUGUGUUUGAACCUCUUCUAUUUAAAUGAAGUGCAAUCUCGAGGUCUGCUUUGCCUUGAAUUCCUGCGUCUUGCUCCAGCUAAGAACUACUGAACCCAGCCGGAAGAGGGACUGCCGAGUGCCUACCGUUGCCUAGAGAAGCAAGACCAGUGUUGUGCCAUGAGCAAUUGCACCCUCUCCUGGUUAUGACUCUGCAAGAGCAGUUGAGAAGUUCAUUGUUAGCGACAACUUACAUGUUCCGUUGUAUUAUCUCUAUGAUAUGCCCAACCAUCAAACGAAUCUUAGUUUUUAUAUGCUUAUGUAGCCUGGGGCUAGCUUCACUCCUCCAGUAAAACAAACAAGGGACAGAAGUUUGGGGCUGUUACAAAUCCAGGCAUUACAUGGUGUUAGUGACAUCAGAACCUGGCUCGCAGCAUGUUAUGGAUCUACCAGAGCCUUGUACAGAGAUUCCCUGGCUGCUUGCUGGACCCCCUGAUACCAUCCCAGGUGUAAGUCCAGUAUGGCUGACAUGAGAGUAAAUCUAGCUGUCUUGUGCAGCUUGGACAGGCAGACUAGUUUACACAUGCCUGAAGCUGGGUUGGGUUUAUUUUGCUCCCUCAUUUGGCAAUACAAAAUGCUGUUUGUUCAUUUUUUUCACCUUCAGGUCAGUUUAAGAGUUACUGUGUGAUAGGAGCAGCUGCUUUGAGUAAAAAUAAAAACUACAUCCUAAACAUUUUUAAUGUUUUUAAGUUUGGAAAUGAAUUUUAAGAGCUUACCUAGUCUAGUCCAUAACUACAUUUAAGGCCUUGGAAGUCAUCCAGGUUUUUAGUUUUAUCUGGCCUCUAUUUUCUCUUCUUAAUGGUAACAAGGACAAGAUGUGCUAAUACAGGCCAAUAAUCAUGCUAUCUAUAGCCUUCUAUGUCAUCUUUGUACAUAAAAUGUGCCUAUUUCCUGUAAUUUAUUACCGUGUAUGGAUGAGAGAUGUUUCAUUAAGUUUAGGUGAGGUAAUAUGUUGCUAAAAGGGCUUGAAAAGGGAAGGCUUUUUGCUUAGGAGAAGUGGGGUUGUGUUCCUAUUCAAUCACAUGCCUUUAAAAAAAGAAAGAGAUUAAAUCAUAAGACAUCAUCACAAGGAGGAGCGAGUGGCUGCAUCUGGUGCCAGCCCAGCGCUGUUUGAUGCUGCACAAGCACAUCUUGAUGCUCACAAACCAGGAGGCUGCGUUUCUCCUCUUUCUGACUAUUGAGCUGUGCUUUUGGCAUUCUGAUACUAACCAAGAAGACACCGUGGCUUCCGAAAAGAUCCCUGAAUUUGUGAUAGCAAAGAAAUGACAAUCUAGACAGAUGGCAGGGUCUCGCAUGAGAACAAAAUCUGCGUGGUUGUGAUCUUCCUUUAUUGUUACCACUCAGGCAGUGACUGUUUCUUAUUUCUGAUGCUAACACACCCCCACUGCAACCAAAAGACUGUCCAUCACAGGGAUAAACAAGCCAUAAAGGUUCCAUUCUGUUUUGCAAACCCAAGCACAGCUCUAUUCAACAGCCAGAUAAGGACUAGGGGACUUCUACUAAACUAUCCUGCAAUUCUUUAUGGAUCUCAGAGCUUUGUUUUGGAGGAUCCUGUAACGCCCAUUUAAUUUCCCUAUGUAAAGAAGCUUCCCUUGGAAAAAGGGUUGCAACGAUUGCACCAGGCAGAUUCUCCUGCAUAUUUGUAUUAGUGAAUCUAGACAGCCAUGUCAAAAGCCCCUCAAGGGUUUCAGAAGUUGUACAGACCAGAGGCAAAACCAUGUGUUCUGUGAUGUAAGGGAGCAGCUAGUGCUGAAAUAAGGGCUCAUGAGCAAAGGGUGGUGAAUAAACUCGGCACAUGCAUGGAUGCUGCAUAGGUAAUGAAAUAUGGUUUUCCGAAACUUAAAACC